AUACGGUCUAAUUAGAUUGAUGGUAAUUGCUGAUUAGAUUUUUUUGUUUCUGGAUAUGGUUGCUGUCUUUUUGAUUUGAUAUCAGUCGUUUCGUGCUGGUUUCACUGUUAUGGUUAUGAAAUUUGGGUUUUUUGGGACUCAGAUUGAUGUGGGUUGAAUGAGAUAAUUACCAUUAGAUUUGAUUUUUUUCAUGUGGGUCAGUUUUGUUUUGUUUUUUGAUACCUCAAUCUGUGAGUUUCUUACCUAUGGGUUUUGGUAGCGUGUUACCCUUUAAUUAUAAUCAUUGUUCCUACAAAAUCGAAACCUAAAUCACACAUUCGCCAUCUCUUUCGCGGAUCUGCAACUCUUUUUCGCCAUUUCUCUGGCUGAUGUGUAGAAACCCUUCGCUACUCUCCCAACUUCGACUUCAUCUCACGGUUGCGGAUGGAACAUUCUUGGAAGAACCUGGUUCUAGUGCUGUACCAACUAUUGAGAACAAAAAGGUUUCUGUUGGGACUUUGGAAUGGGUUCAAAGGCAUGGAGUUACCAUUUGAAGAAGUAGAAGCCCAUACGAGUCAAUCUAUUGUAUAUGUUGGCAUUGAUAGUACUCUUGCCGGUCUCAUUUAUUUUGAGGAUCAGAUAAGGGUAGAUGCUGGACAAGUUGUCAAAUCUUUAUCGAAGCAAGGGAUCGAUGUAUACAUGCUAUCUGGGGACAAAAGCAAUAACGCGGAGUACGUCGCGUUUGUUGUUGGUAUUCCGAAAGAGAAGGUAAGGAGUUCUUAAUUACUUCUUUCUUUGAUGGGAAACAAAAAUUUUAUCCUAUGCAGGCUAACUAUGAAGCAAAAUCUCGAUGUCCAGUCUUCAAAUCCUGAUGCCAUCACUUGAUCUUGCUCCAUCUUUGACCUCCUAGCCACUUUUUGCCCGGCCGAUACCCAGUAGCUUGAUGUAUCAAACCUAGAAGAUAGUUAUUGUAGUUUUUUCUAUUUUUGUUCGGACAUCUUGUAUGUACAUUUUCAUAUAUUUUAUAAUUAAAUACUUUUUCUUGGUUUA